rnacentral:tRNA from 1 species
AGUGUCUUUUAAGUGUACAGUGAUAUUGUACAAGAGCCUAACGGCGGACACUA